rnacentral:lncRNA from 1 species
CUUCUUCAAAGCAUGCUGCUUGUCGAGGAGCAUGCAGACUACGGAGACUGUUGAUCAAUUAAGCGCUACCUCAGGGUCAAAGCAUUCAUCCUGUCCAAUAACUACCAAGGAUGACAAGUCACGCAAAGGACACCUCCACCACUGUGAUCACUGUGACUAUAAAACUAGAAAACCAUGCGAUCUAAGAGCACACUAUUAGGGUCCACACAGGUGACAAGCCAUUUCAGUGCCCUUCAUGCUCUCAGUGCUUCUCAAAAAAGGGCACUCUUGACACACACCUGCGUGUCCACACUGGUGAGCGGCCGUAUAAAUGCCA